rnacentral:lncRNA from 1 species
CUCGUUUCCUUUUGGAAUAAGGAUCAGGCUGGGAAGUGGACCCAGAACCGUGAGUUUUCCCUCUGUUCCCUCCAGCCCCGAGCUCCUGAGCCCCGCUUCAGCUCUGGGGUGACUCUCCCCAGCCUCCUGGCUCUCCUGGGCCAGUGCAGGCAGCCUGAGCUCUGCUCUCCCCAUUUAGGAAGGAGAUUCUAGAAUUUCUACACAAACAUCACAUAGGAAGGGGAGGGAGGGACUUCCAUUUUCAUUUUAAGGCUCUAAAAGAAGGGGAAAGUAAACAGGGUGGGCUGUUUUAUCUCAGGGGUUCAUGGGGAGUCCCUACUGAAUUUACCAAAUAAAAUGAAUUUCAAAAUUUUCAUUUUCUCAUUUUAUUCCGGCAGAAAAUGAGUUUGCCUUUAUAAUAUCCAGAGCUUUCAAACUCUAUUGAGUGAGAAAUUAAGUUACAGAAAGUAAAUACUCUGGUCUCUCCACACGCCCGAAACGAGACAGCCUGUCACUGUAACAUGAUAGCAAGCCCGGCUUUGGGGUCCAGGAUCACUUAUUAUUUUUUUUUAUGAUGUAUAAUAAUGAGAAACAAGACCCAGUUAAAAUGUUCCUCUUUUAGAAUGGUUGAAGUGUGAUACAAAAUAAAUUUGAUUGUAAUUUUAAUUUGUAAACCUAAGUUGCCAAUUAAAAAAAAAUCUUCCCAAUGUCUUAAAACACGGAAAAAAUGUAAAGAAAACAAAAAUGAAUGUUCUUGGCCACGGGAAAUUCUAUCUUUAUAUAGAAACACACAUGUAAGGCAGGCGCUCUGGUAACGGGAGUGCUUUGCCUUUCGUUACAAAGAGAAAGCAAUAUUUGAACUGCAGAACGAGCGGACACAAGGAAGAAGGGUGGCUGGCUAUUUGCAUAGGAAAAUCCAGAGACCGACACUAGGCAGAUGUGGGCUUGGACUGUGAUUGUAUUUAUAACAAAAGCUACAUAAAUGUAAGAAAAAAAGAGAGAAAGUUAUUUUGCUUAAGUGCCUGGAAAAAAAUUGGAAUAAUAUUUGGGUUACUCCUGUCUUGUGCUUUGUGUUCUGGAAACCCGUGGGGUCCAGGAAGGAUUAGAGAACUCCACUGGGGACUUGGGGAGACAGCCGAGCCUUAAAGAGUGCUUGCUGCUCUUCCAGGGGACCCAAGCCGGUUCCCAGCAUUCACAUAGGGUGGCUCAUACUCUCUGUAGCUCCAGUUUCAGGUGAUCCAGUGCCUCUACCUCCACGGGCACACAUUCAUACAUGCGUGCAUGUGUGUACGCUCACACACACACACACACACACACACACCCCAAAUAUUUGUUUUUAAAGCACUUUACCUAAAUCGGAAGUGUGUGUAUUGUGUAUUUGUGCAUGUGCAUAUGUAUGUGUGCAUGUGUGUGUGCACAUGUGCGUGGGAGAGACUGCAUGUGUGCAUUGAAUAUGUGUGUGUUUGGUGUGCUUGUGUGUAUGUGAGUGUCUCACACCCGUAACCUCAGGAGGUAUACAGAGGGGUAAAUGGAAGGGAAGAUAACUUUUACCUCAGAAAUUCUCUGUUAACACAAAACUCUUAAAUG